rnacentral:rRNA from 1 species
GAUUGAACGCUGGCGGCAGGCCUAACACAUGCAAGUCGAACGGUAGCACAGAGAGCUUGCUCUCGGGUGACGAGUGGCGGACGGGUGAGUAAUGUCUGGGAAACUGCCUGAUGGAGGGGGAUAACUACUGGAAACGGUAGCUAAUACCGCAUAACGUCGCAAGACCAAAGAGGGGGACCUUCGGGCCUCUUGCCAUCAGAUGUGCCCAGAUGGGAUUAGCUAGUAGGUGGGGUAACGGCUCACCUAGGCGACGAUCCCUAGCUGGUCUGAGAGGAUGACCAGCCACACUGGAACUGAGACACGGUCCAGACUCCUACGGGAGGCAGCAGUGGGGAAUAUUGCACAAUGGGCGCAAGCCUGAUGCAGCCAUGCCGCGUGUAUGAAGAAGGCCUUCGGGUUGUAAAGUACUUUCAGCGGGGAGGAAGGUGUUGUGGUUAAUAACCGCAGCAAUUGACGUUACCCGCAGAAGAAGCACCGGCUAACUCCGUGCCAGCAGCCGCGGUAAUACGGAGGGUGCAAGCGUUAAUCGGAAUUACUGGGCGUAAAGCGCACGCAGGCGGUCUGUCAAGUCGGAUGUGAAAUCCCCGGGCUCAACCUGGGAACUGCAUUCGAAACUGGCAGGCUGGAGUCUUGUAGAGGGGGGUAGAAUUCCAGGUGUAGCGGUGAAAUGCGUAGAGAUCUGGAGGAAUACCGGUGGCGAAGGCGGCCCCCUGGACAAAGACUGACGCUCAGGUGCGAAAGCGUGGGGAGCAAACAGGAUUAGAUACCCUGGUAGUCCACGCCGUAAACGAUGUCGAUUUGGAGGUUGUGCCCUUGAGGCGUGGCUUCCGGAGCUAACGCGUUAAAUCGACCGCCUGGGGAGUACGGCCGCAAGGUUAAAACUCAAAUGAAUUGACGGGGGCCCGCACAAGCGGUGGAGCAUGUGGUUUAAUUCGAUGCAACGCGAAGAACCUUACCUGGUCUUGACAUCCACAGAACUUUCCAGAGAUGGAUUGGUGCCUUCGGGAACUGUGAGACAGGUGCUGCAUGGCUGUCGUCAGCUCGUGUUGUGAAAUGUUGGGUUAAGUCCCGCAACGAGCGCAACCCUUAUCCUUUGUUGCCAGCGGUUAGGCCGGGAACUCAAAGGAGACUGCCAGUGAUAAACUGGAGGAAGGUCGGGAUGACGUCAAGUCAUCAUGGCCCUUACGACCAGGGCUACACACGUGCUACAAUGGCGCAUACAAAGAGAAGCGACCUCGCGAGAGCAAGCGGACCUCAUAAAGUGCGUCGUAGUCCGGAUUGGAGUCUGCAACUCGACUCCAUGAAGUCGGAAUCGCUAGUAAUCGUAGAUCAGAAUGCUACGGUGAAUACGUUCCCGGGCCUUGUACACACCGCCCGUCACACCAUGGGAGUGGGUUGCAAAAGAAGUAGGUAGCUUAACCUUCGGGAGGGCGCUUACCACUUUGUGAUUCAUGACUGGGGUGAAGUCUAAA